ensembl:piRNA 21ur-3479 ncRNA
UGAUAUCCGUGCUAAAAAAGU